UUUUGCUAGGAAAUGAGAAGGCUCAACAAAAAAGGGGUAUAAAAGCAAAGUCACGUGUGAAGCACAUUUUAUCACAAAUUGAAGAUAAACUUUCUUCCAAACCCUAGGUCGUGGUGAUUUGAAGAUCUUUCACUCCGAUGUCCUCCCACCAAAACCGAUCAUCUUCCACCAUGAUUGGACGUCUUCUAUCACUUUUGAUCGUAUACUCCUUCAAUCCUAAACCCAUGUCGCAUCUGUGAGCAAUUAAUUUGGAGCUUUUGGCCAUUCAAGAUGGCAAGAUCACCGUUGGCUCAACAACGAAAACGAAAAAUGGUUGUAGUCACAAUGGCUUCUAUGGAAACUUUUAACAUACUAUCAAAUAUGGCUCGUUGGUUUAUGUUAGGUUGUUUGAUAAUAAAACAUAUGAUCGAGCCUAGAACUCUUAGUAGGAGAUAUUUAUUGAAUUUUGAAAGUAGACGUAAAAAUAUGUGAACCGUCGUGUAUCAAAGUGAUAUGACGAGUGUGGAUACUAUUAGAAUGUCUAGACUUGCAUUUUCAAAACUUUGUAACUUGCUUGAGCAAAAAGGAGGAUUACGCAGUAGUAAACACAUGUUAGUUGAUGAGCAAGUUGCAAUGUUCUUACAUACACUUGCUCAUAAUGAAAAGAACCUAAUAAUACUCAAUAGAUUCCAAAGAUCUGGUGAAACUAUAAGCCGUUAUUUCAAGUUAGUAUUAGAUGCAGUUUGUCGAUUACACAAAGAGUUCUACAAGACACCAGUUCCAAAUAAUGAGACCGACGAGAGGUGGAAAUGGUUUAAGGGUUGCCUUGGGGCGCUAGAUGGGACAUACAUAAAAAUUAGGGUCCCUGCUAUUAAUAAAAAACCUUAUCGAACAAGAAAAGGGGAGAUUUGUACCAAUAUUCUUGGUGUAUGUACAAAAGACCUCAUGUUUACUUAUGUGUUGGCUUGAUGGGAGGGUUCUGCAGCAGACAUCCGAGUGCUUCGAGAUGCUAUUAGCAGGCCACAAGGCACAAGCUCUUCGAGUACCCCGUGGAUCAUACUAUUUUUGUGAUGCCGGUUACACGAAUGGAGACGGUUUUCUUACUCCUUAUCGUGGUCAAUGGUACCAUAUUAAUGAUUGGUCGAAUCCGCCUACCACGGCUAAGGAGCUAUAUAAUAAAAGGCACUCAUCAGCAAGGAAUGUUAUCGAAAGAGCUUUUGGUAUGAUUAAAAAUAGAUGGAAAAUCUUGAAUGAUAUUUGUUAUCAUCCAAUCGAGUCGAUGUCGCACAUCAUCAUUGCUUGUUGUUUGAUGCAUAAUUUCAUACGUACGGAAAUGAGCAAAGACCCUUGUGAGAAUUUAGUUCCAAUAAAUUACUAGGUAAAUGGAAAUGAAGAUGAUGAUCUUAUUAGCAGGGUCGAGAUAUCUCAAGUAUGGAGUGAUCAUAGAGAUAGUCUUGCUAAUGACAUGUUUAAUGAGUGGAAUACAAGACGUCGUAAUCGAUGACAUUCUUAUUAGGUUAUACAUGUUCUAGCUGUGAAUUUCACUUUUUGAAAACUAUAUUACAAAUUACACAUGUAGUAGAUGCAGGUUAUCAUCUCCAUUGAUUGCUUUUGUAGAAUGAUGGAUACUCUAAGUUGCAGAAGUUCUGUAUUUUAAACUUUGUACUCAAUAUAUGGUCUUUGUUUUGUAA